rnacentral:misc_RNA from 1 species
GAUGAAGAACGUAGCGAAAUGCGAUACGUAAUGUGAAUUGCAGGAUUCAGUGAAUCAUCGAGUCUUUGAACGCACAUUGCGCCCCCUGGUAUUCCGGGGGGCAUGCCUGUCCGAGCGUCAUUGCUGCCCUCAAGCACGGCUUGUGUGUUGGGCCUCCGCCCCCCGGCUCCCGGGGGGCGGGCCCGAAAGGCAGCGGCGGCACCGCGUCCGGUCCUCGAGCGUAUGGGGCUUCGUCACCCGCUCCGUAGGCCCGGCCGGCGCCCGCCGGCGACCCCCCUCAAUCUUUCCAGGUUGACCUCGGAUCAGGUAGGGAUACCCGCUGAACUUAAGCAUAUCAAUAAGCGGAGGA